GGUUAGAUGGCUGAAAUAAUAGGUGAUAGAUUGUAAAUCUAUUAAUGGAAGAUUUUCCUCUUACCA
rnacentral:tRNA from 1 species